rnacentral:rRNA from 1 species
AAUUUAUGGAUGGGUAUGAUCAUGGCUCAGGAUGAGCGCAUUUUCUUUGACCUAACACAUGCUGAUCGACUAAAACUUUAUUAUGUUUUAGAAGGUGAUAGGGUGAGUGUGCGGGAACUUGUUUCAACUUAGUUGGAAGUGAGUUUCGGUGUAGUUUAGAAGGACGGUAGUGGUGACGGCCUACCGAAUCGAUGAUCUAGAGCAAUCAGGCCACAGUGGCACAAUCAAAAAGGCCACCUCGUUCAUACGGGCUGCAGUGAGGAAUAUUGGGCAAUCUGGGAAACCUGGACCCAGUCAAAGAAAGAGAGAAAUCUCCUAAACUCUAUUUAGAAUGAAAGUAGAGUGUAGCAGUAGUGUCCAAAUAUGUGCCAGAAGACUCGGUAAUGCAUAUACUACUUGCGCUAUCCGC